CCGCACUGUUCGUAACCUGGUUCAGUUUCAGUGUGAACUCUGGUUCCAUUCCAGUGCCAUAGUGAGCCCCAGUGAGGCAGGGGAGCAGUGUAUCGAUGUGCUCGCUCCCUGUUCACUCUCUGGGAACAAGC
rnacentral:snoRNA from 1 species